UUGACCUCAAAUCAGGUAGGACUACCCGCUGAACUUAAGCAUAUCAAUAAGCGGAGGAAAAGAAACUAACAAGGAUUCCCCUAGUAACUGCGAGUGAAGCGGGAUGAGCUCAAAUUUUGAAUCUGGCGGUCUUCAGGCCGUCCGAGUUGUAAUCUAGAGAAGCGUCUUCCGCGCUGGACCGUGUACAAGUCUCCUGGAAGGGAGCGUCGUAGAGGGUGAGAAUCCCGUCUUUGA
rnacentral:rRNA from 1 species